CUGGCGCGUGCUAUACAUGGCAAGUCGAGCGAAUGGAUUAAGAGCUUGCUCUUAUGAAGUUAGCGGCGGACGGGUGAGUAACACGUGGGUAACCUGCCCAUAAGACUGGGAUAACUCCGGGAAACCGGGGCUAAUACCGGAUAACAUUUUGAACCGCAUGGUUCGAAAUUGAAAGGCGGCUUCGGCUGUCACUUAUGGAUGGACCCGCGUCGCAUUAGCUAGUUGGUGAGGUAACGGCUCACCAAGGCAACGAUGCGUAGCCGACCUGAGAGGGUGAUCGGCCACACUGGGACUGAGACACGGCCCAGACUCGUACGGGAGGCAGCAGUAGGGAAUCUUCCGCAAUGGACGAAAGUCUGACGGAGCAACGCCGCGUGAGUGAUGAAGGCUUUCGGGUCGUAAAACUCUGUUGUUAGGGAAGAACAAGUGCUAGUUGAAUAAGCUGGCACCUUGACGGUACCUAACCAGAAAGCCACGGCUAACUACGUGCCAGCAGCCGCGGUAAUACGUAGGUGGCAAGCGUUAUCCGGAAUUAUUGGGCGUAAAGCGCGCGCAGGUGGUUUCUUAAGUCUGAUGUGAAAGCCCACGGCUCAACCGUGGAGGGUCAUUGGAAACUGGGAGACUUGAGUGCAGAAGAGGAAAGUGGAAUUCCAUGUGUAGCGGUGAAAUGCGUAGAGAUAUGGAGGAACACCAGUGGCGAAGGCGACUUUCUGGUCUGUAACUGACACUGAGGCGCGAAAGCGUGGGGAAGCAAACAGGAUUAGAUACCCUGGUAGUCCACGCCGUAAACGAUGAGUGCUAA
rnacentral:rRNA from 1 species